rnacentral:rRNA from 1 species
CAGCCGCCGCGGGAAUACGGAGGGUGCAAGCGUUAAUCGGAAUUACUGGGCGUAAAGCGCACGCAGGCGGUUUGUUAAGUCAGAUGUGAAAUCCCCGAGCUUAACUUGGGAACUGCAUUUGAAACUGGCAAGCUAGAGUCUUGUAGAGGGGGGUAGAAUUCCAGGUGUAGCGGUGAAAUGCGUAGAGAUCUGGAGGAAUACCGGUGGCGAAGGCGGCCCCCUGGACAAAGACUGACGCUCAGGUGCGAAAGCGUGGGGAGCAAACAGGAUUAGAUACCCCAGUAGUCCCUGUCUCUUAUAA